GUCCUGGCUCAGGGACUACUCUGUGCUCCUGGGGACCUUGUUUGGAAGGAAUGUGUUGAUCUAGUUCUCCAGGGGUAGGGCCGAGGAGUUCCAUGGCCCUGGAC
ensembl:miRNA Mir6410 microRNA 6410